rnacentral:rRNA from 1 species
GACGUAGGGCGCGAGCGUUGUCCGGAUUUAUUGGGCGUAAAGAGCUCGUAGGCGGCUUGUCGCGUCGACUGUGAAAUCCCGCGGCUCAACUGCGGGUCUGCAGUCGAUACGGGCAGGCUAGAGUUCGGUAGGGGAGACUGGAAUUCCUGGUGUAGCGGUGAAAUGCGCAGAUAUCAGGAGGAACACCGGUGGCGAAGGCGGGUCUCUGGGCCGAUACUGACGCUGAGGAGCGAAAGCCAGGGGAGCAAACGGG